UGCUGUGUCUGGAAUCAUCUGGAUGGUAUUGGUGCUGAUCUGUGUAACUUCUGGACUUUGUGAUGGCUGUGGCAGUACUUCAGAAAACCGGCUAAGAUCCCCAAGAAGAACUCCACUCCACAGCGGGAAGAUACUCAUGUAGUUGUUCAUGAGGAAGUCGAUGAGCUCUGGACAGAAAAAGAUCCAGGGCAGUUUUGGCUGCAUUCACCACGUCGGUCUCCUCUUCUGAUGUGAAAAGAACAGCCAUAUCUUCAAAUACAGCUGUUGCCUCUUCUAGAUGUGUGCUGUUUAACAACAAGGCAAAGCAGUAGGUGGCAUACUCCUUUAAAGCCUUGUUGUCAGUCUUUCUUGAAAAUGCCUGACACACUGCCUUAACAAUAUGUGAAGAGCAAAGAUGUAAGACUGUAAAUUGAAGAUCACCACUGUUUGCCUUGUUCAAAACAAUGCGGUGGGCUCGUUGUAAAUACAGCAAAAUGCUUUCUUUGUUGAAUGCCAGAAGGACACUUGAAAUUAGUCCCCAACUGAAGUCCGUCUCCACUUGAUGGACAUGGCAUGAUGUUAUUAGACCAAGAGCCCUUAAUGU